rnacentral:rRNA from 1 species
UACAGAGGGGGCAAGCGUUAUUCGGAAUUAUUGGGCGUAAAGGGCGCGUAGGCGGCCUGGCAAGUGGAAGGUGAAAUCCCUCGGCUUAACCGAGGAACUGCCUUCCAAACUGCUUGGCUUGAGUCCGGGAGAGGUGAGUGGAAUUCCCAGUGUAGCGGUGAAAUGCGUAGAUAUUGGGAGGAACACCAGUGGCGAAGGCGGCUCACUGGACCGGAACUGACGCUGAUGCGCGAAAGCGUGGGGAGCAAUCCGG